GGGGAUUUAGCUCAGUGGCAUAAGCACCUGCCUUGUAAGCAGGCAGUCGUGAGUUAGGAAAAAAAAAAAAAGACAAUGCUGAAAGAGACACUCCCGAUCCCCU
rnacentral:tRNA from 1 species